GCAAUCCUCCUGCCUCAGCCUUCCAAGUGGCUAAGACAACAGUUUUCAUCAUUUGAUUAUCAGUUCCCAUUCAGGAGUUGGUCUUCUACUUUUGAACUUGCCGUGUGCAUCUCAUCAUGAUUGUGCCUUGCUGGAAUUCAGUACAUGUGAAGUAUGAUGUCUACAACCAGAAUGGAGCCAAGGGGAAAAAUAAAACUGACAACAUGGAUGAGAAAAUUGAGACUUAGAAACUGUAAGGACUUACCCAAGGUC